rnacentral:rRNA from 1 species
UACGUAGGGUCCGAGCGUUAAUCGGAAUUACUGGGCGUAAAGCGUGCGCAGGCGGUUUUGUAAGCCAGAUGUGAAAGCCCCGGGCUCAACCUGGGAACUGCAUUUGGGACUGCAAGGCUGGAGUACGGCAGAGGGAGGUGGAAUUCCACGUGUAGCAGUGAAAUGCGUAGAGAUGUGGAGGAACACCGAUGGCGAAGGCAGCCUCCUGGGCCAGUACUGACGCUCAUGCACGAAAGCGUGGGGAGCAAACAGG